rnacentral:rRNA from 1 species
AUGGCCUCAGGAUUCUUCCUCCUUGUUCUUUUGGCUCUAUCAGCUUCUCGUCCUCUUGCCUCCGACCCUGGCCAGCUCCAGGAUUUCUGCGUCGCUGACAGGACAUCCCAAGUUUUCGUGAACGGAUUUGCAUGCAAAGACCCAAAGACUGCCUUGGUAGAAGACUUCGUCUUCUCGGGGCUUCACAUGGCUGGGAACACGAGCAACAAGCAAGGCUCUUCUGUGACCGCAGUUAACGUCGCGCAGAUUGCUGGAUUGAACACUUUGGGCAUCUCCCUUGCUCGUGUUGAUUAUGCAUCCCAUGGUCAAAACCCACCGCAUAUCCACCCCCGUGCAAGUGAGAUCCUGACUGUGCUAGAAGGUUCGCUCUAUGUUGGUUUCGUGACCUCGAACCCUGAAAACGAGCUGUUCUCAAAAGUUUUGAACAAAGGGGAUGUGUUUGUCUUUCCACAAGGGCUGAUUCACUUCCAGUUCAACUAUGGAACUAGCAAGGCGAUAGCCAUUGCGGCGCUGAGUAGCAAAAACCCCGGAGUGAUCACCAUAGCAAAUACGGUGUUUGGAUCAAAUCCAUCCAUCUCAGAUGAUAUACUUACCAACGCCUUCCAGGUGGACAAGAAGAUGGUAGACCAUAUUCAAGCUCAAUUCUAG